ensembl:lncRNA
AGGUGAGGCACGGCCUCACCUGUCUCCCGUGACUGCACGUCACUGCAGUAGAUUGUAUAUAAAGAGGACAGAAGCAGUGUAGGGAGAAGCUGAAAAAGCUCAAAAGUGACCAUCGGUCCACCCAGGACCACAACGGCCGGCGUGGGUCAACCAGGAGGUGUUGGAAGAGGUUUAAUGGAAGCUAUUUACUGGCACCACACCGCCAGCAACAGGAGGGAGACUCAGCCGCUGCAUUGUUGGAGACGUUGGAGGGCGGCAAGAGGAAAGGGGGCCACAGAAAAUUGGACCUUCCUAGCGUACUUGUGGAGAUGCAGGCUGAGGAGGAGCGGAGUCAUGCCCAGCAUGAUGAGAACAUCUGGUUGCUCCUCAGCGAGGCAAGAGAGAAUGAAGCGGCCUUGCAGCGGGAGGAGAUGGCCCAGAAUGCUGCCUUCAACCAGUCAUUCCUGGGUGUGCUGGGGCAGCUGGGUAGGCAGUGGGCAGCCGGCGAGUGUGAGCGAGUCCACCUCCCAUAGACUUGAGAUUUACAAGUGCUGGUUAUAUAAUUAGAAUAUCAUGAAAAUGCUCGUCUUUUGGACAACUGUCAGGUCAGCAGUCUUCCCCAUGAUUGUGUAGCCUACAGAACUAGGCUGAGAGACCAUUUAAAGGCCUUUGCAGGUGUUUUGAGUUAAUUAGCUGAUUAGAGGUGUCUUCAAUAUUGAACCUUUCCACAAUAUUCUAAUUUUCAGAGAUACCAAAUUUGGGAUUUUUGUUAGUAUUCAGGUAUAAUCAUCAAAGUUAAGAGAAAUAAACAUUUGAAAUAUGUCAGUCUGUGUAAUGAAUGAGUAUAAUAUACAAGUUUCACUUUUUGAAUGGAAUUACUGAAAUAAUGAACAACUUUUUUCAUGAUAUUCUAAUUAUAUGACCAGCACCUGUAGUUGUAUAUAGUUUUACUUUUAGCCCUCCACUGUAGCAGAAGCCCACCACAGUUUGUACUUUGCACAUUGUAAAUAGUUCUGAUUUUGCUGCUGACUAAUAAACU